CCCGGUGACUUUAGUUUAACGGCCGCGGUAUCCUGACCGUGCAAAGGUAGCAUAAUCACUUGUUCUCUAAAUAAGGACUAGUAUGAAUGGCCCCACGAAGAUUCUACUGUCUCUUACUUCAAAUCAGUGAAAUUGAUAUUCCCGUGAGGAAGCGGGAAUAAAAAAAUAAGACGAGAAGACCCUAUGGAGCUUUAAUUUACUAAUUCACAUUUCUAAUACACCGCCUCAUAAGAGGUCAAAUCUGUUUUAACUGAACUAGGAAUUUAGGUUGGGGUGACCUCGGAGCAAAACUUAACCUCCGAGAAAGACUAUUAAGACUCACAAGUCAAAAUUAAAUUAUUUUUCACUGAUCCGUCAAUGACGAUCAACGAAACAAGUUACCCUAGGGAUAACAGCGCAAUCCUAUUCAAGAGUCCAUAUCGACAAUUAGGGUUUACGACCUCGAUGUUGGAUCAGGACAUCCCAUUGGUGCAGCAGCUAUUAAUGCGUUCGUUUGUUCAACGAUUAAAGUCCUACGUGAUCUGAGU
rnacentral:rRNA from 1 species